GCCGAGGUGGCGGAAUAGGCAGACGCGCUAGCUUGAGGGGCUAGUGCCCGUUUAGGGCGUGGGGGUUCAAAUCCCUUCCUCGGCACCA
rnacentral:tRNA from 3 species